rnacentral:rRNA from 1 species
AGAGUUUGAUCCUGGCUCAGGACGAACGCUGGCUGCGUGCUUAACACAUGCGAGUCGAACGCUGAAGCCUGGUACUUGCACCGGGUGGAUGAGUGGCGAACGGGUGAGUAACACGUGAGUAACCUGCCCCUGACUUCGGGAUAAGCCCGGGAAACUGGGUCUAAUACCGGAUACGACUGCCGGACGCAUGUCUGGUGGUGGAAAGUUUUUUCGGUUGGGGAUGGGCUCGCGGCCUAUCAGUUUGUUGGUGAGGUAAUGGCUCACCAAGACGACGACGGGUAGCCGGCCUGAGAGGGCGACCGGCCACACUGGGACUGAGACACGGCCCAGACUCCUACGGGAGGCAGCAGUGGGGAAUAUUGCACAAUGGGGGAAACCCUGAUGCAGCGACGCAGCGUGCGGGAUGACGGCCUUCGGGUUGUAAACCGCUUUCAGCAGGGAAGAAGCGCAAGUGACGGUACCGCUAAAGGAAGCCCCGGCUAACUCCGUGCCAGCAGCCGCGGUAAUACGGGGGGGGCAAGCGUUGUUCGGAAUUACUGGGCGUAAAGGGCUCGUAGGCGGCCAACUAAGUCGGAUGUGAAAUCCCCAGGCUCAACUUGGGAACUGCAUCCGAUACUGGAUGGCUUGAAUUCGGGAGAGGGAUGCAGAAUUCCAGGUGUAGCGGUGAAAUGCGUAGAUAUCUGGAGGAAUACCGGUGGCGAAGGCGGCAUCCUGGACCGACAUUGACGCUGAGGAGCGAAAGCCAGGGGAGCAAACGGGAUUAGAUACCCCGGUAGUCCUGGCCCUAAACGAUGAAUGCUUGGUGUGACGGGUAUCGAUCCCUGUCGUGCCGAAGCUAACGCAUUAAGCAUUCCGCCUGGGGGAGUACGGUCGCAAGGCUGAACUCAAAGGAAUUGACGGGGGCCCGCACAAGCGGUGGAGCAUGUGCUCAAUUCGACGCACGCGAGAUCUUACUCAGGCUCGACGGCAUUGGACAUCCGGCGAAAGCCGGCUUCCCGCAAGGGCCG